rnacentral:rRNA from 1 species
UACGUAGGGUGCGAGCGUUGUCCGGAAUUAUUGGGCGUAAAGAGCUCGUAGGCGGUCUGUCGCGUCGAUCGUGAAAACUUGGGGCUUAACCCUGAGCUUGCGGUCGAUACGGGCAUGACUGGAGUUCGGCAGGGGAGACUGGAAUUCCUGGUGUAGCGGUGAAAUGCGCAGAUAUCAGGAAGAACACCGGUGGCGAAGGCGGCUCUCUGGGCCUUACCUGACGCUGAGGAGCGAAAGCGUGGGUAGCGAACAGG